CGGCCACCUCCUGUCCUAUUCCUACCCUGGGCCAACAGCCCCAGGACACUCCUACCUGCCUGGCCAGCAACUCUCAGCCGCGCCUUCCUCAGCCCCGCCACUGGCCGGCCGAACACCCGCAGGAACUCGAAGCAGUUUCGUAAAGCCGGGCAGGAGGGCUCCCCACCCCACCCCCUGGGGCAGUGGAGGAGUGUGUGUGCGCGCCUGUGUGUAACGGAAAACUGCCAUAAUCCAGAUGGAGGGGUUGAGACCCAGCUUUUCCUCAUCUUUCACUCCUUUCCUCCAUAUCACCCUUCUUGUCUCAGAAACCAGUAGGCAAGACAAACUCUGCUAAACAGAAAUCAGUUCCCGGCUUGAGAUAUGCUAAUAUACACUGGGGAAGUAGGAGCAGGAGGAUCCUGAGUUUGAGGCCCCGCCUGGGCACCCUAUUAUAUAUGAGAACCCGGUGCUGGUGCUGUCUCCAGGGUCCUCCCAGUAGCCCCUGACCAGGAAGCUGCGCAAGCCUAGAACCAUCUACUCCAGCCUGCAGCUGUAACACCCAAACCACCAGCCGUUUCCAGCACAUGCACUACCUGGCACUACCUGAGCCCUGCCAAGAGAGCUUAGCUGGCAGCGCAGCUUGGACUCAUCCAAACCCAGACAGGAACGAUGAUAGCAUUUGCUCCGCCAUACGGUUGUGAUGAUGAAAUGAGAAAGUGCUCGUAACAGCUUUGACACACAGGGUGCCCGGAACGCAGUAAGCGCUUUAUAAAAUGACAUUCGCAUCUGCUGCUGUGGUGACAGGAGGGCACAGCUCGUCCUGAGGGUGAGUAGUUCCUGUAGCCAUCGAUUCACCUCCUGCCUAAGCCCAGAAACCUGGCUCCCCAGGCUAGGGAGGAAGGAAGGGGCUGGAGAAACAACCCAGCACAUUGAAGCCAGCACUGUCGGAGAGCAGAAUGUGGGCAAGGUCCCCGGCUCAAAGUGGGCACUGACCAUCUGAAGUCAGCUGAGGCUGCAGAAAGAGCGGCGUGUCCAGGGGUCUCGGCCACAGGAAAGCAGCCUCCUUCUGGGGAGCUCACUGCACCCCCCAUCCCAGUCCCAUACUCCUCUGUACUAUUUUAAGGUAUGCCCCCCAUUCUCUCCCCAAACCAAAUGAGAUUCAAUUAAUUCAAUUAAAGCAAUUUUGGA